GGUUGAGAAGGACACAUUGGGCAUAAGGAAACCACUUGGGAGGCUACCAGGGAAUGUAAUAAAAAGCUCUAGUUACACUCAGAGAUAAAACAAGAUGGACUGUGCCUGGCUUCCGCAGCCCUCCCUAUCUUAAUAUCUUAGUUCACUCUGCUUCUUCCCUGUGGAUACUGUUCUCCCUCAUUCCACCUGUGCCACACUUGAGCCCACAUAUCCACUGAAGUUCAAAUGCUGGUUAACCAUUUCACACUUGGGUGAGAGGAUGCAGCCCAACCUGUCACUCCCCUAAGAGCAUCUAAAGGUGAAUUUCCUCCAAGGUGGAAUCAACUACCCUUUCCCCCACCUCCUCCAAGUAAAGCAGGCACAUAUAGAAUGGUGAUGGAUGUUUCUCCAGAGACUUGAGAACAUUCUCUUAUUUGGCCCAUUAUUUAAAUUUAUUCUCUUUAUAGAACUGAGCAGUUAUAAUGCUGUUCCCUAAGUGUUACGCUUUUCAGUCAAUAUGAGGCUUUGAUUUCAUGCUUGCAAAUCAUGGGCCAAGGGCUGAGCCUCUGAUGUGUGAGUCGCUUCCAUAUAAAUCAGAAGAAAACAUAUAUGAAUGCAGUCUUGAGACCAAGAGUCUCUUCAUAACCACCAUAUAAAACUUAAAAAUAAAAUCUCAGAAAAAUAGGAGGAGCAACCCCUCCAUAAAGACAGAGGAGAAGUGAUGUAAAGUGCCACCAGAAAGAUUUCGGGAGAUGUAACAACCACACACUCAUUGCCCACACGGGAGAAUGACAUUAUAGUUCUUCACAGGAAGGGGCAAUGUUCCCACCACCUCUCUUCCUGCUCAGGAAGUAUUUGUUCUGCAUUCGGAAGUCCCUACAGGUAAGUAUUUGUGAGCAAUGAGCCAUUUCAGGGAAAGAAGAAGUUAGAAUCGCUGGGCUGGGAAGAUGGGGAGAGAGAAAUGAUCUCUACCCAGGGAAAUCACAGACUGUAGCCAUCAGAGAACAGGAUUUUCAUAUAGAUGCUUAUGUCUUAUUCAGACCUCAUCAGGAGACAGAAUUUUUAUGAUUUUGAACUCAUAGUAGAUUGAGAGAGAACUUUCCCUGCAGCUGUAGAGACCUGGGCUCUGAGGUUUGCUUCAUUUUCCUGGUGACUUGGUCACCCUUUGACAAGAGUUGGUGUUUUUAUCUAUUUAUCAUGGUGAAUAUUUUAAGGUUCCUUCUGGAUUUUAUAUUUCAGUUCUGUUACGUGGUCCUUGCUAACAUGUGAGAGCUAGUUUAGCAGCUUCAUAAUCUAUAGACAGCUAAACAAAAUAUUUGCCUGGAGAAUGUUAUUCCGACAUUGAGCUGGGCAGGAAGGUUGGUGGGAUACUGUAGCCAGGGCCUUUCCGCUGGCCCACCUCUAAUUUGUCAGCAUGGGUAAAGUAUGCUCUGCUCUGCUUCACAUCUCCAAGUUUUCCAUAAAGUUAAUUUCUCUGAAGUUGUAGUUAGAGAGAGAGAGAGAGAGAGAUUUUUGGACAAGAGGUAUUUUAUUGAUGUCUUUGUCAGUCCCCUUUGCUUUUACCUCUACCAACCUGAUUUCCAAAUUCUUGUUUCUUUCCUUCUGCCUUUUCCAUGGGAAAGACCUUCUCAUCAAAAAACAUGUUUCAGGCUCUCCACUGAUCUACUUUUUUAAAAAAAUAAUUUGUAUUUAUUUACUUUAUUUUAUGUCUAUAUUUGUGUGUGUGAGGGUGUUGAAUUCCCUGGAACUGGAG
rnacentral:lncRNA from 1 species